rnacentral:lncRNA from 1 species
CACACUCUCAAUACUUACCCCUAGGUCUCACUCACUCUCACUCAUGCACUAUUACUCCUUCCAAACAAUACAACCCAAACCCGGUGAAAGUUAACUCGCGCCAACACUCCUCCAAUAUCCCUCUACUCAUUCUCAUUCACAUACCACUAAAACAGAGCCUACUUUCCAUUCUCCCUCCACUCAAACUCUCUCUUUUUUUCUCACAUAAAUUGAACAUGAAGUUCAUGCAGACUCGAGCCUCCUACUCUUUUAGUUAUCUGACGUCAAAAUCCUCUCUUCUUAUGCACUCAACUAAAGUAGCAUUCUCUUUCUCUUUCUUCUAAGAUUUUCAGUAAUGCUUUCUAUUUAAAUUGAAAAUAAACUUUCUUCUCUUUUUAUUCUCUUUAAAUACAGAAAUAACAUCUCUACCACUGUUCGCCCAUCAUCCACUUCAUAUGUAAACUCUUUCUUCGUUUAUUCACUUCCCGAAAACUCUCCAUGCAUAAACCUUCUUCCCUUCUUCCUUAUUUUCCUCACCAACACAUUGCAUAAACUCUCUACGAUGCAUAAUUAUCUAUCUCCCUUCCUUCGUUUCUCUUCCCAUUUCUCAUGGCCACCCUUGACUCUCCUUUCCAAGCCAAACUAAGAGGAUGAUUUGUCUUCUGCAUGUGAAUACCAAACACUCCUCAUUCUUAUGAAUUCAAAACUUCCCAAUGGAACCCACACUUUCCUUUCUCACAUACUAUCCCAACUCUUUUUCUCUAUGAUCCCAUAACCACAAUCACUACUUUUUUCUCCCUUCUUCUAUUUUCUUCUUACUUGCCUUCUCCUUCUAUCACUAUUCUUUAUCCUAUUUUCCACGUUCACUCUAUAUCCAUCAACCGAUUCUCUCAUCUCUAAUCAAACCAACCCCUUUUCAUUCUCUGAAAACCCAACCUUCUUUUCUCUCCAUCUAAACACAUGCCCGUGCAUAAAGAUUUCCCCCAAUCUUCCACUCAUUCAACAUUCUUUCCCCACACAUAGAUCACUUCUCUUAAAAUCUUAGUUAUCACCCAACACUCUCAAUCGACACCCAAACUUCAAGCUCCCUCUCUAAUUCAAGAUACACAUCUUCUUUCUUCCAUGAGGUGAGAAAGAACCCGAAACUCAACACUAUACACCCACACCCGUUUUACGUACAAAACUUCCCUCAACUCACCCUAUACAACAUUCCAAGCAUCCUCAACCACUCCUC